rnacentral:rRNA from 1 species
ACUAAUACCGCAUAUACUCUUGCUACACAAGUGGCGUAGAGGAAAGGAGCGAUCCGCUUUACGAUGAGCCUGCGGCCUAUUAGCCUGUUGGUGGGGUAACGGCCUACCAAAGCUACGAUAGGUAGCCGACCUGAGAGGGUGACCGGCCACAUUGGGACUGAGAUACGGCCCAGACUCCUACGGGAGGCAGCAGCUGAGAAUCUUCCACAAUGGACGAAAGUCUGAUGGAGCGACAUCGCGUGAGGGAUGAAGGCCUUCGGGUUGUAAACCUCGGAAAUUAUCGAAGAAUGAGUGACAGUAGAUAAUGUAAGCCUCGGCUAACUACGUGCCAGCAGCCGCGGUAAUACGUAGGAGGCAAACGUUGCUCGGAUUUACUGGGCGUAAAGGGUGAGUAGGCGGACUUAUAAGUCUAAGGUGAAAGACCGAAGCUCAACUUCGGGAACGCCUCGGAUACUGUAAGUCUUGGAUAUUGUAGGGGAUGAUGGAAUUCUCGGUGUAGCGGUGGAAUGCGCAGAUAUCGAGAGGAACACCUAUAGCGAAGGCAGUCAUCUGGGCAUUUAUCGACGCUGAAUCACGAAAGCUAGGGUAGCAAACAGGCUUAGAUACCCUGGUAGUCCUAGCCGUAAACGUUGUACACUAGGUGCUUCUAUUUAAAUAGGAGUGCCGUAGCUAACGUCUUAAGUGUACCGCCUGAGGAGUAUGCCCGCAAGGGUGAAACUCAAAGAAAUUGACGGGUCCCCGCACAAGUGGUGGAGCAUGUGGUUUAAUUCGAUGAUACGCGAAAAACCUUACCUGGGUUUGAAUUGUAAGAUGAAUGAUUUAGAGAUAAGUCAGACCGCAAGGACGUUUUACAUAGGUGCUGCAUGCCUGUCGUCAGCUCGUGUCGUGAGAUGUUGGGUUAAGUCCCGCAACGAGCGCAACCCUCACCCUUUGUUGCUACCGAGUAAUGUCGGGCACUCUUAGGGGACUGCCUACGUUCAAGUAGGAGGAAGGUGGGGAUGAUGUCAAGUCCUCAUGGCCCUUAUGUCCAGGGCUACACACGUGCUACAAUGGCAAGUACAAAGAGAUGCGAGACCGCGAGGUGGAGCGAAACUCAAAAAAGUUGCCUCAGUUCGGAUUGGAGUCUGAAACUCGACUCCAUGAAGUUGGAAUCACUAGUAAUCGUAGAUCAGAACGCUACGGUGAAUACGUUCCCGGGGAUUGUACACACCGCCC